GAUGAAGAACGCAGCGAAAUGCGAUACUUGGUGUGAAUUGCAGAAUCCCGUGAACCAUCGAGUCUUUGAACGCAAGUUGCGCCCGAAGCCAUUUGGUUGAGGGCACGUCUGCCUGGGCGUCACAUAUCGUUGCCCGAUGCCUAUUUCACUGUGAUAGGAAAUUCUAGGGCGAAAGAUGGCUUCCCGUGAGCGUUGUUGCCUCGCGGUUGGUUGAAAAUUGAGUCCUUGGUAGGGUGUGCCAUGAUAGAUGGUGGUCGAGUUUGCACGAGACCGAUCAUGUGUGCGCUCCCCAAAAUAUGGACUCUUUGACCCCACACGCGUCUUUUGACGCUCAUGACGAGACCUCAGGUCAGGCGGGGCUACCCGCUGAGUUUAAGCAUAUCAAUAAGCGGAGGA
rnacentral:misc_RNA from 1 species